rnacentral:lncRNA from 1 species
UGUACUUAUGAUCUUGUAUCCGCUGACUGUCUUGUUAGAUUAACCCAAUAAAUUUCAUUCACUCCGCAUACUCAAUCCUAUAGACAUUCUUUUAAUCCUUCAAUCACAGACCUAACUCGAUUUCACAAAACAGUCAAGAGUAAUCAAACCUACUUCAUUAAAAAAUCCCGAUUCACCAUUACAACAUUGACUUCAGCAACGAUUACCUCAGUCUUUCUUAAACUCUUUGAAGAACAAAAAUCCAAUUCUCUGUCUUUUCUUUCCCGACCCAAAGCAUAAAGCUCCUCUCCAAUAUCCUUGAUCUUCAAAAACCUCCAAUGAAAACGAACUAGUAACCUUGAAAAGAGCUUGAAGCUAGCUCCUCGAUCAAAAAAAAAACCCCCCUCAAAACUUAUUCUCCCCCUAACCUUAUCCUCUGAAUUUUUUCAAUCUUCCGUCUUGGAUCCGGAAUUGGCUCCCAUCGUCAGAGCUUAGAUCCGAAAUUGACUCCCGUCGUCAGAGCCCUCUCCUCCAUUUUUACCUCUAAGAGAUCUAUUUACCGAAAACAACCUUCCUUGAAACGGCACAGAGAAUAGGACAGCCUGAAAUAGAAUCGAAACCCUGUACUCGGGUCCACAUUGAGUCGCCCGACCAAUUCAGGUCUCAUAUUGGAUAAGAGUCUAGUACUAAGCCCCGGAUUUUCCCGUAAUUAGAUUGCAUUGGGUUGCCCGACCUAUGCAAGUCUCAUAUUCGGUACGAUGCCCGUUGUCGUGUUGUAACACGAGUAUACAGUGAAAAUAAAAAAAAGAGAAGAAGAAGGGGAAUUUUAUUAAUAUUCAGUUACCUCGAAUAUUGGGAGCAUCGACCAACUCCAGCGCAAAUACUGAGUGGUCAGGUUCAGUCACCCCGUUACAGUCAGCCGGGGCAUACUGAAAUGCUCCGUUCGAUUCUAAUAACGGGAGUUAGCAGGAUGAGAAGGACCAAUUCACACGACGGAUUUGAAGAGCCAAUUGGAUCCAAUUUCGAGAAUCCAAUCCGGGUCAUCUUGCCCAAUAUGAGACCUGUAUUGGUGGGGCAACCCAAUGCAGUCUAGUUACGGGAAAAUCCAGGUCUUACUACGGGCCUCAGCCAGUCUGACGCGAAGACCAAUUUGACCCAAUUACGCGAGCAUCCAGGUUACUACGGGCAUCUUACCCAAUAUGGGACCUGAAUUGGUCGGGCGACUCAAUGUGGUCCCGAUUACGGGGUUUCGAUUCUGUUUCAGGCUGUCCUGUUCUCUGUGCCGUUUCAGGGAACGUUGUUUUCGGUAAAUGGAUUUCUUAAAGGUAAAAACGGAGGAGAAAGUUUGACGGCGAGAGCCAAUUUCGGAUCCAAGCUUGAGGUGGGAGUCAAUUCCGGAUCUAAGACGGAAGAUUGAAGAAAUUCAGAGGAUAAGGUUAGGGGGGAUAUAGUUUUGAGGGGGGGGGGGGGUUUUUUUCAGGGGAAUUGGGGGGCGGAGCUAGUUUUUUUUCAAGCUUUUGCAAGGUUACCGGUUUUGUUUCAUUGGAGGUUUUUGAAGAUCAAGGGAAUUAGAGAGAAGAGCUUCAUGCUUCGGGUCGGGGAAGGAAAGACAUAGAAUUUGGAUUUUUCUUCUUCAUAGAGUUUUGGGAAGACGAAGGCAAUCGCUGCUGAAAUCAGUGUUGUAAUGGUGAAUCAGGAUUUUUAAAUGAAGUGGGUUUGAAUACUCUUGACUAUUUUAUAAAAUUGAGUUACGUCUGUGAUUGAAGGAUUAAAGGGGUGUCUAUAGGAUUGAGUAUGCGGAGUGAAUGAAAUUUAUUGGAUUAAUCUAACAGGACAGUCAGUGGAUACAAGAUCGUAAGUACAAAGGGGUAUUGAAGAUUAACAGUUUGGGUUGUUCGGGGUUCUCUGUAACGUCUAGAGACCUAUCGGCUGGGGCAAAAAAAAAGACUUCGACAAGCAGUCGAAGAGCAUCCGUAUAGAUUUACGGUACAUUGUUGCAGUCGUUUAUAUUCCAGCAGUCAAAAAUUGAUAGACUGCUUGACUGUCGGCGAAUCUCCAUACUACCUUCUACAGCCAGACGCCCGACGCGUUCUCGAGCAGGAAAGCACGUAAUACGAUACCGUAGUAAUCUGGAUGUUCCCGUAAUUAGACUGCAUUGGGUUGCCCGACCAAUGCAGGUCUCAUAUUGGGUAUGAUGCCCAUCGUAACCUGGAUGUUUUCAUAAUUAGACUGCAUUGGAUUACCCGACCAAUGCAGGUCUCAUAUUAGGUAAGAGGACCCCGAUUGGAUUCACGAAAUUGGAUCCAAUUGGCUCUUCAAACCAGGCUCAGCCGUCGCGUAAAUUGGUCCUUUUCUUUCCUGCUGACUCCCAUUAUUAGAAUCAAACGGAGCAUUUAAGUAUGCCUUGGCUGACUGUAAUGGGGUGACCCAACCUGACCACUCAAUAUUUGCACUGGAGUUGGUCGUUGCUCCCAAUAUUCGAGGUAACUGAUUAUUAAUAAAAGUCCCCUUUCUUUAUAUUUUCACGGUAUACUCGUAUUACAACACGACACCGAUAGGUCUCUAGACGUUACAGAGAACCCCAAACAACCCAAACUGCUAAUCUUUGAUACUGCUUUAUACUCACGAUCUUGUAUCCACUGACUGUCUUGUUAGACUAACACAUUAAAUCUCAUUCACUCUGCAUACUCAAUCCUAUAGACACCCUUUUAACUCUUCAUCACAGACUUAACUCGAUUUUACCAAAAAAUCAAGAGUAAUCAAACCCACUUCAUUAAAAAUUCCGAUUCACCAUUACAACACUGACUUCAGCAACGAUU